AUUGAACGCUGGCGGCAUGCUUUACACAUGCAAGUCGAGCGGCAGCGCGGGGGCAACCCUGGCUGCGAGCGGCGAACGGGUGAGUAAUGCAUCGGAACGUAUCCUCGAGUGGGGGAUAACCCAGCGAAAGUUGGGCUAAUACCGCAUGAGCUCUGAGGAGGAAAGCGGGGGACCUGCGAGGGCCUCUCGCUGGAGGAGCGGCCGAUGUCCGAUUAGCUAGUUGGUGGGGUAAAGGCUUACCAAGGCGACGAUCGGUAGCUGGUCUGAGAGGAUGAUCAGCCACACUGGGACUGAGACACGGCCCAGACUCCUACGGGAGGCAGCAGUGGGGAAUUUUGGACAAUGGGGGCAAACCUGAUACAGCCAUGCAGCGUGAGUGAAGAAGGCCUUCGGGUUGUAAAGCUCUUUCGGACGGAACGAAAUGGGCGGGACUAAUACUCCUGUCUGAUGACGGUACCGUAAGAAGAAGCACCGGCUAACUACGUG
rnacentral:rRNA from 1 species